rnacentral:rRNA from 1 species
GUGGGGAAUAUUGGACAAUGGGGGCAACCCUGAUCCAGCCAUGCCGCGUGUGUGAAGAAGGCCUUUUGGUUGUAAAGCACUUUAAGCGAGGAGGAGGCUACUUAGAUUAAUACUCUGAGAUAGUGGACGUUACUCGCAGAAUAAGCACCGGCUAACUCUGUGCCAGCAGCCGCGGUAAUACAGAGGGUGCAAGCGUUAAUCGGAUUUACUGGGCGUAAAGCGCGCGUAGGUGGCCAAUUAAGUCAAAUGUGAAAUCCCCGAGCUUAACUUGGGAAUUGCAUUCGAUACUGGUUGGCUAGAGUAUGGGAGAGGAUGGUAGAAUUCCAGGUGUAGCGGUGAAAUGCGUAGAGAUCUGGAGGAAUACCGAUGGCGAAGGCAGCCAUCUGGCCUAAUACUGACACUGAGGUGCGAAAGCAUGGGGAGCAAACAGGAUUAGAAACCCGGGUAGUCC